UCUGCUACAAAAUACAUGCCCUCUGCUCCUGAGUUCUUCCUUCUUCACGUUCGUAGAAAGAAAAUUAGUCAGAGAUAGGGGGUCUGCAGCGGCUACGUUUGAGUCGAUUUUUAAUAAUCGGAGUUUGAUUUAUGGCAAAUCGGAGACGGUGGAGGUGUUGUUUAUGCCUCAUCCGACGGUGACGGCGGCGUCGCGGGCGAUCGGGACUCCGGAUGUGGCUGUGAUCGGGGAUGGUGAUGUGGCGGCGGCGGUGUCGGUGCAGGGUAAGCGGUUAGUGAUGCAGAAGAAGGCGGUGGUUGCUUCGGUGGUGGCGGAGGAUUAUGCUAGGAGUUUUGGGUCUGGUGAUGUUGAUGUUGAUGUUGCUGUGGUAUGUGAUGUUUUGAAUUUUAAUAAUUUGGUGAGUGUUUUAUGGUGUUUGUGAUAAAUGAGUGCUUCUUGUGAAAUUUGGUUAGUUUUAUGUACUUCGUUAGUUUAGUGAUGGUAUGGGGUUUGAACACAAGUAGGUUGAUGGUAUGGGGUUUGAACACAAGUAGGUUAUUAGGUUACAAUAUUUAUUUUAUCAAUGAGGUAUUGAGGUGUAGUUAUAGAGCUUGUGUAGAUCAUCUGCCCCUUAACUAUGUUUAAGACGUUGCUGGUUUUUAAGGAAAAAAAACUAAUUUUUCUUUUUAUUUUGAUGAUAACAAGUAACAACACAUAAGUUGCAUUAUGUAGGAUGUCCAUGUUUUAUAGCUUUUUGAGGUUUGAAUUGUACAGGGUGUUUUCAGGUCAUCUUAUAGAACUGUAGUUUGAUGAUCAAGACUUAAGUUCUUUGUUGCUUUAUCAAGUGUCACCAGGUAGUGCAAAUAUUUUCUUGAUAUACAGAGCACUGAAGAAUCCUUUUUAUCAUGUUAUGUGUUGGGUAAUGGAAAAUCAUUGGAGAGAUUGGUCUCAUUAAACGCUCUACAACUGGGAAAUUCAUAUCUCUAGAUGGAGUUCUGGUGUAUUAAACUCCAAGAACAUGACUGAUGCUGACCAUUAAAUCUGAUUGAUGGCGGUAAUAGUGUAGACGAUGGUGAAACAAAGACGGGCCAAGUCAUCUUAUGAUCUACCAGGGUCAAUGCCUAACCAUGACAGGCCCAUAGCUAGAAAAAAAUCGUAAGAAUUGCACCUGGUGACCGCAAUUGGGCUACUGCAACAACUGAAGGGGUUUUGGUUUAUCCGGUGGAUGAUAAUUUCAUAUUUGAUCCCACGGAUCUCGAUAUUGAUGUUACACCCGAGGCAAUAAUUGAAGCAGCUCUUUGUUGAAAUCAACCAAGCAAUGUCGUUUAGAUCCGGCUUUUUUUUCGGUGCAAUGAGAUAACUAUGAGUCGGAAGGUUGGAGAAGAAGACAAGGACGGAUGCUCGCAUGUAAGAACCCUGCCGCAUUGCGGCGGAUACUAAUUCCUAGUUAUAUAAAAUAAUAAUAAUAAUAAUAAUAAUAAUAAUAAUAAUAAUAAUAAUAAUAAUAAUAAUAAUAAUAAAUAGAUAUUCAUUCACGUAAUAAUGAAUAGAAUAUUUAUUCACGUUUAAGAAAUGAUAGAAUAAGAUAAAAAGUCAACAUCAGUGAUUAUUACUCGUUUGCUCAUCGGAAACAAAAUUGGAGUGUUUUCUUAAACUAGUGUUGGUGAGAAAAAUAUUUAUCAAAAUGGUGUUGCUUUCAAACUAUUUAUCAAAAUGGUGUUUUCCCCUUUAUUUUGUAUUUAUAUUUUAUUUUUUAAGCAAAAUAUUAUACUUUUCUUUUACUUUUUAAUUGAAUCAAUACAUUAAUCUAUUUUUUUAGUCUUUAGUAUACUUUUGUUUAUUCGUAUUAUUCAAUCAAUCCAAUAUUUCUUACUUUUAUUUUUCCUUCAAUCAACUCAUUGAUUGAACUAGAAUCGAUUUUUACGAUAUACUAAAAUGUCGACAUUUUUUGGUAAUUGUAGUUUUGAAAAAAUUGGAUUAUGAAGAAAAAUUGAAAGAAUCUAUAUUUUCUUUUCCGCAUCAUCUUGUCUUUGUGCAUAAUAGAAUUAUACUUUGCUUUUCCGACUUCCCAGAUAAAUAUGAUGAUUUCAUCUUGAAUUGUUGUCUUUGUGAUUUUUUCUACAUACGACAGUGUUUCGAACACAUAUAUGUAGUUGUCUUUUUGAUUUCAUCUUAAGGUGGUUCGUCUU